GAUGAACGCUGGCGGCGUGCUUAACACAUGCAAGUCGAGCGGCGCGGCGAACGGGUGGGUAACGCGUGAGUAACUGCCCCCCUCUCUGGGUUAACAGGUGGAAACGGCUUCUAAUACCGGACAGCGGGGGAUGACUCGCGUCCGAUCCGCUUGUUGGUGGGGUAGUGGCCUACCAGGGCGACGACGGGUAGCCGGCCUGAGAGGGCGACCGGCCACAUUGGGCUGAGAUACGGCCCAAACUCCUACGGGAGGCAGCAGUGGGGAAUAGUGCACAAUGGGGGAAACCCUGAUGCAGCAACGCCGCGUGCGGGAUGACGGCCUUCGGGUGGUAAACCGCUUUCAGCCAUGACGCGGUAGUGGCAGAAGAAGCACCGGCUAACUACGUGCCAGCAGCCGCGGUAAUUC
rnacentral:rRNA from 1 species